CCGCAUUUUUUCGCCUGUAGCAGAGUAUAGGCGAGAGGUACUCUUUUGGAGAUACCGAGUGGGAAUGAGGCCUUUGACCAUACAGUUACUGUCGGCACCAGUGUCAAAAAGAGCGACUUUGUUUAUUACAAAGUCUUUGUCAAUGACAAUUUUGACCGCAAUGUGUUCACUGUAGGUUUUAAUGGCCGCUAUAUUUUUUGAGGUGGAAGGAAUAGCAGAGAUUUCUUCACCGGGAAAGGAGAUGGGUUCCUUGAGAUGAUCAGUCG
rnacentral:lncRNA from 1 species